UAGGCUACUGAAUACAGAAGUAGAUAGAAUGACCAAUCACAAAUGACUACUAUCCAGCCAAACGCAAUGCCCGUUAUUGUGUUACCUAGCAACAAAACCUAAACAAACCUGUGUAAUUUUCUCUACAUUUUGUGUGGUUAGUUCAGAAAUGUAUUAGAAAUGUUGUAGCUAACUAGCUAAGUGCCCUUGGUUAGUUAACUUGAGCGGGAAAAGUCGUUUUGUCAUUUUCACCCUAACCAGAUGCUCGUGCUAAAGGACAGUGCAAUGCCAGCCAUAUCAUCACUGCCAGAAAUACAAAAUAGGUUGGAAAAAGGAAACCACACCAUCCGUCACAUUAAUGUGGCAGAUUCCGUGGAGGCUGAUGUACUCCAGUUUUGAGAGGAUAUGUGUUUUCAUUGUUUCAUCAGCUGUCCCGGUGGCUGGUCCCAGAAGAUCCUGCAGGUGAAGAAGCCGGAUGUGGAGCUCCAGGGCUGGCGUGGUUACACAUGGUCUGCGGUAUGAGGCUGGUAGGACGUACCGCCAAAUUCUCUAAAACAACAUUGGAGGCGGUUUAUGAUAGAUAAAUUAACAUUAAAUUAUCUGGCAACAGCUCUGGUGGACAUUCCUGCAGUCAGCAUGCCAAUUGCAUGCUCCC